rnacentral:rRNA from 1 species
GAUCCUGCCGGACCCGACUGCUAUCAGAGUGGGACUAAGCCAUGCGAGUCAACAUAGCAAUAUGUGGCAUACGGCUCAGUAACACGUAGUCAACAUGCCCAGGGGACGUGGAUAACCUCGGGAAACUGAGGAUAAACCGCGAUAGGUCACUACUUCUGGAAUGGGUAAUGACUAAAACCUAUAUGGCCCCUGGAUUGGACUGCGGCCGAUCAGGCUGUUGGUGAGGUAAUGGCCCACCAAACCUGUAACCGGUACGGGCUCUGAGAGGAGGAGCCCGGAGAUGGGCACUGAGACAAGGGCCCAGGCCCUAUGGGGCGCAGCAGGCGCGAAACCUCUGCAAUAGGCGAAAGCCUGACAGGGUUACUCUGAGUGAUUUCCGUUAAGGAGAUCUUUUGGCACCUCUAAAAAUGGUGCAGAAUAAGGGGUGGGCAAGUCUGGUGUCAGCCGCCGCGGUAGUACCAGCACCCCGAGUGGUCGGGACGUUUAUUGGGCCUAAAGCAUCCGUAGCCGGUUCUGCAAGUCUUCCGUUAAAUCCACCUGCUUAACAGAUGGGCCGCGGAAGAUACUAUAGAGCUAGGAGGCGGGAGAGGCAAGCGGUACUUGAUGGGUAGGGGUAAAAUCCGUUGAUCCAUUGAAGACCACCAGUGGCG